rnacentral:rRNA from 1 species
AGAACGAACGCUGGCGGCAGGCUUAACACAUGCAAGUCGAGCGCCCCGCAAGGGGAGCGGCAGACGGGAGAGUAACACGUGGGAACGUACCCUUCGGUUCGGAACAACACAGGGAAACUUGUGCUAAUACCGGAUAAGCCCUUACGGGGAAAGAUUUAUUGCCAAAGGAUCGGCCCGCGUCUGAUUAGCUUGUUGGUGAGGUAACGGCUCACCAAGGCUACGAUCAGUAGCUGGUCUGAGAGGAUGAUCAGCCUCGCUGGGACUGAGACACGGCCCAGACUCCUACGGGAGGCAGCAGUGGGGAAUAUUGGACAAUGGGCGCAAGCCUGAUCCAGCCAUGCCGCGUGGAUGAUGAAGGCCCUAGGGUUGUAAAGUCCUUUCGACGGGGAAGAUAAUGACGGUACCCGUAGAAGAAGCCCCGGCUAACUUCGUGCCAGCAGCCGC